rnacentral:lncRNA from 1 species
AACCUUUCUAUAUCAUUCGUCUCUCUCUCUCAUCCUUGUCUCUCCUUCACAUCUUAGCCCCAAAUCAUUAUCAUCAUCAACAUACCAAAAUUGGCUGCAACAACACCAACUUCCAUUUUCUUUCUACUAAUUUCUUCUUACACCACUCCAUCCCAUCAAUUCUUAACCAAGCUCCCCACAACCACCACCACUUCCGACGGCAACUACAGCGAAGGCUGCAAAUUCCCUAUUACAAGAUCUUAAACAUGUUUGCUCGCGAAUGAGAGAGAUGAGAAAAUUGGUGGCUGUCAAGUCAAUUAAGAAUCCAACAAGGAAAAUGGGCAGAUCUGCUAUGAAAGAUACGAUGAAGAAGGCUCAAAUUCCAGACAGUUACUUACUCACUCCUCCCCCACCAUCAAACCCUUCAGUUUCCCCCAAAUAAUUCCUGAUUGAAUAUCCCAACUCUAAAGAUUCGAGCAUGUGUUCUAGGUUUGCCAAUAAUAAACUAAUUGUUGAACCAGAACCAUUCAGUUUCCCCCAAAUAGAUGCCUCCAUGAUUGAAUAUUUGGUUUUUAAAUAAAUUUACAUGACUUAAAAAAGGAAUAUUUGUUCUGCAAUUUAUUUUACCAUCGGAAUCCUUGGUUGAUGGUGGUGUUUAUUUUACCAUUGGGUUGUUGAUGUGGUGGUUAUGAAUGAUGGUGGCGGGCGAUGGAUGUUGUGAGGAAC